rfam:Schistosoma mattheei strain Denwood, Zambia genome assembly, scaffold: SMTD_scaffold0011342
AUCCAAACAAAGAGUCCCAAAUAGGACGAAACGCGCGUCUUGUAU